GACGAACGCUGGCGGCGUGCUUAACACAUGCAAGUCGAACGGUGAAGCCUGGCUCUUGCGCUGUGUGGGUGAGUGGCGCACGUGUGUGUAAUGCGUGUGUAAUCUGCCCGUGACUCUGGUAUCAUCCUGGGAAACUGGGUCUUAUACUGUAGAUGACAUUCCACUGCGUUGGGGUUUGUGGAGAUUGGUUUUGUGGUUUUGGAUGGGCUCGCGGCCUAUCAGCUUGUUGGUGGGGUAGUGGCCUACCAAGGCGAUGACGGGUAGCCGGCCUGAGAGGGUGACCGGCCACAUUGGGACUGAGAUACGGCCCAGACUCCUACGGGAGGCAGCAGUGGGGAAUAUUGCACAAUGGGCGGAAGCCUGAUGCAGCGACGCCGCGUGAGGGAUGACGGCCUUCGGGUUGUAAACCUCUUUCAGCAGGGAAGAAGCGAGAGUGACGGUACGUGGAGAAGAAGCGCCGGCUAACUACGUG
rnacentral:rRNA from 1 species